rnacentral:rRNA from 1 species
GUACACUCCUACGGGAGGCAGCAGUGGGGAAUAUUGCACAAUGGGCGCAAGCCUGAUGCAGCCAUGCCGCGUGUAUGAAGAAGGCCUUCGGGUUGUAAAGUACUUUCAGCGGGGAGGAAGGCACUACGGUUAAUAACCGUGUUGAUUGACGUUACCCGCAGAAGAAGCACCGGCUAACUCCGUGCCAGCAGCCGCGGUAAUACGGAGGGUGCAAGCGUUAAUCGGAAUUACUGGGCGUAAAGCGCACGCAGGCGGUCUGUCAAGUCGGAUGUGAAAUCCCCGGGCUCAACCUGGGAACUGCAUUCGAAACUGGCAGGCUUGAGUCUUGUAGAGGGGGGUAGAAUUCCAGGUGUAGCGGUGAAAUGCGUAGAGAUCUGGAGGAAUACCGGUGGCGAAGGCGGCCCCCUGGACAAAGACUGACGCUCAGGUGCGAAAGCGUGGGGAGCAAACAGGAUUAGAAACCCGGGUAGUCCC